GCCGGCUAAUCUUUGUUCCCGGCGAAGAUAAUGAAUAGCCAAUCGUUAUCUGCCCGGCUCCCGGAGGCUGCCCGAGAAUGGGGUUGUACAGGGCUGGGAAUUGUUUCCAAAGUGCCGCGGAAUAAAUGGUGUUUCUUAUCUCUGCCUUCCAGAUUAUCGCAGCCCUUUCAGAGCGCACACAACAAAUGCGCCCGCCAUCGAAUGCAGCAUUUACCACCACAGAUCCGCGCGCCGAUGGGCAGGCUGAUAAAGUCCGCGGGGGGCUCGCCGGGGCGAGUGUGCGCCCCGGCUCUGCCUGGUGUGUUUGGAGGAACACGUGGGUAUGGCAGCGCGUGGACCCUGAGCACGCAAGGAUGUGAGUGUGCGAGUAAGUGUGCCUCGAGAAAGUUCACGUGUGCGAGACCCUGCGCACAUGCAUGGUGAGUGUUGUGGCGAGUGCCAGAGCAGAGGCCACCAAGAGGCUGGCGGGUAGGGUUGCUGCACGUGGCCUCGUGGGAAGCAUGCGGCUAAUGUGCGCCGAGUGCACGAGACAAUUUACUUUGAGGGCCUACAAGUACCUAGCCUUGGAGGAUGUUGUUUGAGGGUGCGGAACAGAGGGGUUCGAAGCCACUCCAAGUAUGUGUAGCACUUUGCAGGCUGCACUCCACAAGGUGUCUUCCUAAAGCUGCUGGAUGGAAGCGGUAGCUGACGUUUGUGCCGGGGACUCAGGCCUUUGGAACACGCACGGGUCUGUGGGACAGUGUGGACCCAGAACGACUAGGUGUGCAGAGAGAUGCGCGAAGGGUGAGACCCUGUCUCAAGAAAGAAAAAAAA
rnacentral:lncRNA from 1 species